CGAUAUAGUUCAGUGGUAAGAGAGGGGACCUCGCGGUCCAAAGAUUGCAGGUUCAAUUCCUG
rnacentral:tRNA from 1 species